rnacentral:rRNA from 1 species
ACUCCUACGGGAGGCAGCAGUGGGGAAUAUUGCACAAUGGGCGCAAGCCUGAUGCAGCAACGCCGUGUGAGUGAAGAAGGUUUUCGGAUCGUAAAACUCUGUCCUAAGGGAAGAAACAAAUGACGGUACCUUAGGAGGAAGCCCCGGCUAACUACGUGCCAGCAGCCGCGGUAAUACGUAGGGGGCAAGCGUUAUCCGGAAUCACUGGGCGUAAAGGGUGCGUAGGCGGCUUAGCAAGCCAGGGGUGAAAGGCAUUGGCUCAACCAAUGUAAGCCUUUGGAACUGUUAAGCUUGAGUGCAGGAGAGGUAAGUGGAAUUCCUAGUGUAGAGGUGAAAUUCGUAGAUAUUAGGAGGAACACCAGUGGCGAAGGCGACUUACUGGACUGUAACUGACGCUGAUGCACGAAAGCGUGGGUAGCGAACAGGAUUAGAUACCCUGGUAGCACAGAGC